GCCAAAUGCCAGUCAGCUGUUCGCACAACCAAAAAGAAAAAUCGGUUUACGUGGAAGUGAUCAAAUAUUUGCCGAAAAAACGAUUACUAUACUAAUUUAUUGUAACAACUUUGAUUGUAGGGAAAAAUUGUGUUUGAUAUAAGAAUAGUAGCAUAAUGAUUGAAAUUACAGAUUUACAGAAAAUUGGAAUAGGUCUGGCUGGCUUUGGUGUCUCAUUCCUAUUUUUGGGUGUGCUAUUUCUGUUCGAUAAAGGAUUGCUGGCUAUUGGAAACUUGCUCUUCCUGAGUGGUCUUGCCUGUGUAAUUGGAGUACAACGUACAUUUAGGUUUUUCUUUCAACGACACAAAGUUAAAGGUACCACUGCGUUUUUUGGCGGGAUUUUCGUUGUACUUCUUGGUUUUCCAAUGAUUGGAAUGAUCAUUGAGCUAUACGGAUUCUUUGUGUUAUUUAGCGGAUUCUUCCCGGUGGCAGUCAACUUCUUAGGAAGAGUGCCAGUUCUAGGCUCUGUCCUAAAUACACCUGUAAUUCAAAAGCUUGUACAAAAACUCGGUGGGGACGCAAAUCGAACGACGGUAUAGUAGAACUCCAAUAAUCUCUGCUAAGGAUAAUUUUAAUAUAGUUUAUUCAUCCGUGAGCUUAAAUUUAAAGAGCGUUUUUGUAUAAAAAUAUCCAUGUCCUUCAUAUUGGGAAAUUGGGGACCGGAUUAUAACUCCAAUUAUAGAAUACGUGCCUCCCUGCGUAUUUAUAGAUAUUUGCCAUUGAAAACAUACUUGUGUUAUAUGUACAUAGCUACGAUUAGUUAAAUACCAUGUUUAAUAUAUUCCUUUAAUAUUAUAUAUAAAAUGUAAAUCGAAUUUUAUUUAAAAUUUCUUAAGUUUUAAAUAUUAUUUUUAUCGAUACACAUUUUUCCAUGUAUCAAGAAAUACAAACAUCGUUAAAAUGUUCCUCUAAGCAUGC